AUUGAACGCUGGCGGCAGGCUUAACACAUGCAAGUCGAGCGGAGCGAGGGUGCUUGCACCUUAGCUUAGCGGCGGACGGGUGAGUAAUGCUUAGGAAUCUGCCUAUUAGUGGGGGACAACAUUCCGAAAGGAAUGCUAACACCGCAUACGCCCUACGGGGGAAAGCAGGGGAUCUUCGGACCUUGCGCUAAUAGAUGAGCCUAAGUCGGAUUAGCUAGUUGGUGGGGUAAAGGCCUACCAAGGCGACGAUCUGUAGCGGGUCUGAGAGGAUGUUCCGCCACACUGGGACUGAGACACGGCCCAGACUCCUACGGGAGGUAGCAGUGGGGAAUAUUGGACAAUGGGCGGAAGCCUGAUCCAGCCAUGCCGCGUGUGUGAAGAAGGCCUUUUGGUUGUAAAGCACUUUAAGCGAGGAGGAGGCUACUUAGAUUAAUACUCUGGGAUAGUGGACGUUAUUCGCAGAAUAAGCACCGGCUAACUCUGUGCCAGCAGCCGCCGUAAUAC
rnacentral:rRNA from 1 species